UUGAUAGAUAUUUGAUAUCUAUUAUAUAUUUUAUCUAUUUUUGUGGUUUCUUUGUCGUUUUCUUUAUUGAUUUUUAUUCAUUCUUGUUCUAUUAAUAGGUUACCAAAUUAUUGUUCUAUUUGAAGAAGAGAGUUUCCCAUCUCUUACUCGGGUACCUUCUCCAAGUUAUAAGGAACCAGAUGGAAGCCAUUGAAUUGUUAGUCUACCUUCCUCCAUUGGAGUCUGAGGCAUAGAUGGACCGAAAGGGGAAUCAUCUAGCUUUAGAUGGGGGAGGAGAGCACGACUUGUGCUAGAACUUCUUCAAGAAAUUUGACAAAUUUACGCUUCUCAACCUUACUCAUGGCUCUCGCGUCUUGAUGUUUCAAGAGUUUCUCGUGGAGGGUACGUAAGGCUAUCCCCAACUGAAUCUUUGACUGGGGGAGAGAUGAUUCCGUCAGGGAAUUUAAUGUAAAAAUUCGAAAAACAAACAGAUAACAUUAUUAUUAGAGGAAACGUUUCAAAUAAAAUAUUUAAAAUGAUAUAUUUUGUGAAAUAUUAAUUUAGAACGUUCAAUUAUUUUAAAUUAAAUGAAACACAUCUUAAGGUAGAUCAUAUCUCCAGGUUGUAUAUCUCAAUUUACUCCAAAUAAAUAUGUUAGAUUAAUAUCUCAUUUGAAGUUUACCCAAUUAAUAGAUGAGAGGUCGGAGAUCGAACGACAGGAUGAAAUUAGUGGAAUGUUUUAGAGAUUAAUUUUAUACCAUUUAAAUGAAAUAAAAGAGUACUUAUAGUAUUACAAUAUUUGUAAUUAAUUAAUUAAUUCUAAAGGAUUUUUAAUAUAAAAAUUCUAAUUGGAGAAGCGGUCUUCCGCUUCUCUCUCCGGCUCGGACCCGGUUCAUCACCGUUGGGUGAUUUUUGUUUACCGUGGUCUUCCCCCAAUUAAGUUAGGAUUUAGUUCGUCUUCUUCAACAACAACUCUUCUAAUCGUCGUGCUAUCUUCCUGGAUAGUGGAGCAGUCUAUCAGCAUCAUAUCAUCGUCGGCUUCUUCAGAUUCGGCAUUGUCUUCAAUGUUGAUAGGAGGGAAAAGACGCAACACAUCUUCAUGAAAUUCCCAAGACGAGUCCUCCGGUAUCGCUCCAUUCCAAGCGACCAGCCAUUGAUUUCUCUGUCUCGAUCUCACCCUGAAAAAUGGUACGCUUAUUAGAAUAAAUAACUUCUACUGUUUUUUUAGUUGAGUUUAAUAUUCUCAAAUACAAGUUUAUACAAUGAGUUAGCUGUUAGAGGUUAAUUAGUUUUAGAUACUCUUUCUUAUAAAUACUUUUGUAAGACUGCAUUCUUGGUUAAUGAAUUGAGUUCUUUCUUUUGAGAUUAUUGUUGAAUUGAACUUGAAACAAGCACCAAAAUCUUGGUACUCAAGACUGAGUGCAUUCCUAAUAUUAAAUGAAUUCUCUAACAGUCUGGCAGAUACAUUAUUGUUUCAAAAAAAAGAUAAUUUUUUAAUUUGAGUAAUUGUGUAUAUAUAUAGAUGACAUUAUAAUUUCAAGAAACAACAACAUUGAAAUUGAAGUUUUUAUUAAAAAUCUUUGUACUGCAUGAAUUUAGAUGUAGAGACCUAGGACUUUUGAAAUAUUUCUUUAGUAUAGAAAUUAGAUACAAUUUUGAUGGGUCACUUAACAUGACUCAAUCUAGAUAUGCAUUGAAUAUUUUAAGUAAAAACAACAUGCUAAAUUGUAAACUCAUAAGAACAUCAAUAUUGCAAAUUCCAAAUUGUCCAAAGAAAAUGGAGAAUUGUUAUAAGAUAUAGCAGCUUAUAGAGCCUUAGUUGGAUCCUUACAGUACAUACUUGGCACAAACAAGGCCCUGAUUUUAUUUAUGCAAUAAAUCAAGUGACUCAAUUUGUACAAGCUCCUAGAACUACUCACCUAGUAGCGGCCAAGAGAAUACUAAUGUAUAUAAAAUGAAUUUUAGAUCAUGGUCUUCAUUUUACCAAUACCAAAAGAACUGCCAUAAAUUGAUAGGUUUUUGUGAUGCUGAUCGAUUUUGCUGGUGAUCCAGACACCAGAAAAUCAACAACAGGCUAUUGUGUAUAUAUCGGAGGAAAUCUAGUGACAUGGUCAUCAAAGAAAUAGACAAUUAUUUCAAGAUCCAGUGCUAAGGCUCAAUAUAGAGCCUUAGCAAGUCAUACAACUGAAAUUAGAUGGACUCACUUCAUAUGUAAGGACCUUCUAUAUAAUUUACAUCAGAUACCUUUGUUAUAUACAGAUAACAGUUCAGCCAUUUUUAUGGCUAGAAACUGUUAAGUUUUGAUAUGUGUAUGAAAUAUAAUCCAAGUAUGGUUUAAUGAUUAAUCCAGAGUAAAGUAAAAUAGUGUUGAUGCAACGGAUAAUAUUGAUUGUUUAAUUUAUCUAAUGAGUAUGAUCAAGAUGUGUUGCAGGUAGAUAAUGUUUGACAGGGAUGAUAUAUAUAUGAUUUGUCCAAGUAGAUGCGGAGAUAUGUGUAUGCAUGCAAUAGAUAUCAGGUAUGAUAUAUAUAUGAAAUGUAAGCAGAUGAUUUAGCAAUACUGAGAUCGUUUGGAGAGCAAGGAGAUGACGAUGUAGGAGAGUCGAUGACUGAGUGUAGAGCAGAUCGGAGUGAAGCUGAUGAUGACUUUGAUCCACAGAUGAUGAUUAAUCCCAAAGGGAGUAUGAUUUUGAAACUUAGUAUCACAAACUGUAAAACAAUGUUAGGUUUGAGUUUGAUAUAUAUAGAUGGUUUAAAUGUUUGAUUCCAGCUUACAACGGUCAUAAGCUCAAGGUUCAACUGGCGCUUGUUGUCACUGUUGCUGAAGGCAAAGGUGACAUUAAGUGAUGGUUGGAGCUUCCUAGGAUUUUUACCAUAUUAAAGGUUUAGGUAUUAAAUUGAUCAUGUAAGGGUUUAAAUUAUAAAUUGGUUAAUGAGGGUUCAUAUUGUAAAUGUUGUAAAUGGAUUUAUGUAAUAAUUUUAUACGCCCCCUCAAAAGCGAGUUGGGCUGAAAAGAAACGAACUUUUGGACUGGUCCAUGUUCCAAUCUUUAAAUAUAAAAAGGGUUUUGUAAAUUUGAUUUUGGUUGUAAACACGAAUCGUCUUGUAGGGUUUCAGAGGGAAAUGAGGGUUUCACUGGAGGCAAGGGUUUGCUGGAGGCAAUCGUUCGGGUAUGUUUCUAGUCUUCUUCUUUUGUGCAUGUCGCUCUAUUCCUCUUGUUUAUGUUGUCUUUGGUUGGGUAUCCUUAUUCAUUUGUAUUCUUAAUGGGUUUUGUAGUGGGUGUUCUGUCUGUUAAUGUGUUUGCAUGUCAGUGUUUUCUUUCUUGGUGUUUGUUUUCCUUCAUCCAUUGUGUUUGUUUUCCUCUAUCAGUCUGUUCCGUGUAAGUUUUCCAUUUUCAGUUUCUUUUUGAGAUGAUUGAAUAGAUAUCCUGUAACAUCUUUUGUGAAGAUGUCUUCCACGUUUUCUUUGGUGUUUACCCUUUCUAUUUCAAUCUCUUUUUGUAAAGCUUUGUCUCUGAUCGUGUGUGUAUCGAUUUCUAUGUGUUUUGUUCUUAAUUUGAUGUAAGACUGGGUUUGUUGCAAUUGCAGUUGCAGAGGAACUAUUAAUUUGUAUAGAGUUUUGGAGUUACUAUAUUUACUUGCAUUUCCUUUAAUAGUUGUUUUAGCCAUGUGAUUUCACAAGUUGUGUGUGCUAAGGGUCGGUACUCUGCCUCUGCUGACGAUCUUGUUACUGUAUGUUGUUUUUUGGUUUGCCAUGAAACUAGGUUAUCAUUCAAGAAGAUGGCAAAUCCUGAUGUGGAUCGUCUGGUUGUGGGGAAAGAGGCCCAGUCAGAGUCUGAAAAUACUUUAAUCCUUGCGGUUCUUGUGCCUGAUGAGAAGAAAAGUCCACUUCCUGGUGAGUUUUUAAUGUAUCUUAAUAUUUUGUUCACCUUAGUAGAGUCUUCAUUUGUUGGUUCUGACAUGUGUUGGCUUAGUUGGUUUACUACAUAUGUUAUAUCGGGUUUGGUUACAGUUAGGUAGACAAGUUUUCCAACUAUGCAUCUGUACUCAGUAGGAUCAUCAAGUAAUUUAAUUUCCUUGUUCUGUUUGUUUGACGAUCUUGAUGGUGUAUAGAGUGGGUAUUCUCCUGGUUUAGCAUGUAGAUAGUUGUUUUGUUCAAGGAUUUCUAAUGCAUAUUUUCUUUGGCUUAUAAAAAUCCCAUGUUGUGUUGUUGUGAAUUCUAAUCCUAAGAAUUUUUUUAAUGUUCCUAGAUCUUUGAUGUUAAAAAAACUGGUUAAAUCUGUCUUAAGUUUGAUUAUUUCUUUUAAGUUAUUUCCUGUGAUUAAUAGAUCAUCUACAUAUGGUAGGAUGAAAAUUUUAUUUUUCCCAUUGAUCUUACCGAAGAGAGCAUAAUCCUCUCUUGUCUGUUUAAAACCUAAUUUGUUUAGUACUUGUUGUAGUUUGUUAAACCACAUUCUAGAUAUUUGUUUUAAGCUAUAUAGAGGUUUUGUUAAUUUGCAUGCUAGUUUGUGGUUGUCUGUUGGUUCUUUGUUGAUCCUUAGACCUUGGUGAGACAUGCCUGAUUACGACAGUCACUCCCAGCAACGCCUUUCAAUAAGGACUAGGGUUCCGUCACUUUACCCCCGGAAGGCUCCCACGGUGCGGAACAAGUUCAUCGUCAAAUCGCGAGUUAACCCGUAAAUCGCGAUUGGACUACCAAAUCGCCGAUUUUAUGGACAAAUCGUUGAGUUAGGGCCCAGAUCGGCAGUAUGGUAGACUGCAUAUCUCGCCCCUUGAAACUCGACGAGUUUACCCUAAUAGGCGAUUUUCAUACCUGAAUCGUCGAUUUACGACCGUUACUCGCCGCCAGCCAACGCCAUAAAUGAACCCAUAUAUGGCAAUAGGCCUCGAUAUCCUCCUUUGAUCGCGCCCUCCGAGACCCUAUAAAAAGGGUCCCAAGGGGACACUCAAAGGCACAACACAAGUUCCACUCUCACCAGAGCACCACUAAGAGAAUCGCCGAUUUCCACACCAGAAUCGCCGAUUCUCUCCUUUCAGGUAUUUGACGUAGAGCGCGCGUCGUGGACUCCAGAGCCUCCGGCAUCACCUCGCACUACCGCGAGCCUUGGUAGCAGAUUCAGUGCUUCAUCAGAAGGCAUUUUGAACAUCCAUCUGAUGGAGGUGCCAUCCUUGGUGAGACAUGCCUGAUUACGGCAGUCACUCCCAGCAACGCCUUUCAACAAGGACUAGGGUUCCGUCGCUUUGGCCGGACCCCCGGAGAGCUCCCACGGUGCGGAACACGUUAAUCGUCCAGAUCGCCGAGUUAGCCCGUAAGUCGCCCGAUUGGACUACCAAGUCUCCGACAUAAAGGAUAAGUCGCCGAUUUAAGGGCAAGAUCGGCAGUAUGGUAGACUGCACAUCUUGCCACUGGAAACUCGGCGAGUUAGCCCUAACUAGGCGACUUCCAUACCUGAAUCGCCGACUUACGAAAGUUACUCGCCACCAGCCAACGUCAAAAAUGUUACCAUAUAUGACCAAAGGCGCGAUGUCCGCCUUUGAUUGCGCCCUCCAAGACCCUAUAAAAAGGGUCCCAAGGGGACACUCAAAGGCAUGAUUCAAGUUCCUCUCUCACACCAGAGCAUCACUAAGAAACUCGUUGAUUCUCAUUAGAAUCGCCUAGUUUCUCCUUGCAGGUAUUUGACGUAGAGCGCGCGUCGUGGACUCCGGAGCCUCCGGCAUCACCUCGCACCACCGCGAGCCCUAGUAGCAGAUUCAGUGCUUCAUCAAAUGUUCUUCAGAAAAUCGAGAAUACAACUUGUACGUCACUGUUCUUUUAUUAUUUGGUUAUUUACAGUCUAUGGUUUUUAGUCCUUGAUAGAUAUUAGAUAUUUAAUAUUAUUUAUCUAAUAUAGGUUUUAUCUAUUUUUGUGGAUUUCUUUGUCGUUUUCUUUACAUGUCGAAUUUUAUUUAUUCUUGUUCUAUUAAUAGGUUAAUAAAUUCUUGUUCUAUUUGAAGAAGAGAGUUUCCCACCUCUUCCUCAGGUACGUACCUUCUCCAAGUUAUAACGGACCUGAUGGAGGUUAUUGAAUUCUUAAUCUACCCUCCUCCAUUAUAGUCUGGGGCAUAGAUGGGCAGGAAGGGGAAUCAUCUUUAGAUGGAGGUGAUCGCCACCACUAAGUCAGACUUUAUAACAUUCCGGUGAUGGAUAUACACUUCCGAUGUUAUAAAAUCAUAUUUAAAAAUCCAACCUUGUCUCUGAUACCAAAUGAUAGAAAUUAUCAUACUUUAUGAUCUAAGAUUUUUAUAUCAACAACCCAAUGAUCCAAGCCUGGAUUAACUUGAUAUCUUCCUAAGAGUCCAACCACAAAUGCAAUAUCUGGUCUAGUGCAUACCUGAGCAUACAUUAGACUUCCAUAAGGAAAUGCUUUCAUUUCAUUCUUCUGUAAGUCUGUUAGAGGACAUUGAGCUAAAUUCAAUUUAUCACAUUUUACAAUUGAAGCAACACUUGACUUACAUUCUGAGAGAUUAAACCUUUGUAAUAUACGAUCGAUGUAAGCUGAUUGAGAAAGACCUAACAAAUGUCUAGAUCGAUUUCUGUUGAUCUCAAUACCAAGAACAAAAGAUGCUUCACCCAAAUCUUUCAUAUCAAAUUCACUUGAUAAGAAUUUCUUUGUUUCAAAUAAUAUACUUAAAUCGUUGCAAGCAAGUAAUAUAUCAUCAACGUAUAGAACAAGCAAAACAUAUUUGCUCCCUCUGACCUUGUGAUAUAUACAUGGAUCCAUGAGAUUUUCCGAAAAACCAUAUGAAGAAAUGAUUUCAUGGAAUUUAAUAUGUCAUUGUCUUGAUGCUUGUUUAAGUCCAUAUAUAGACUUUUUAAGUCUACAAACAAGCUUGUCAUUUUCUUCAAAACCUUGUGGUUGCGUCAUAUAUAUUUCUUCAUUGAGAUUCCCAUUAAGAAAAGCGGUUUUAACAUCCAUUUGAUGUAGUUCUAGAUUGUAGUGAGCCACUAAAGCCAUAAUGAUUCUAAAAGAAUUCUUCGAGGAAACUGGUGAAAAUGUUUCAUGAUAUUCAAUUCUCUCUCUUUGAGUGAAUCCUUUGGCAACCAAUCUAGCCUUAAACCGCUAAAUCUUUCCUCUGGAAUCUCAUUUGGUUUUAAAAGCCCAUUUGCAACUCACAACUUUAACACCCUCAGGUAACUGAAUAAGUUCUCAUUCUUUAUUAUGGUACAUAGACUGCAUCUCAUCUUUCAUUUCAUCUUGCCACAAAUUAAUCACAUUGUGCACUUGCAACCGCUUGAUCAUAUGAGAUAGGGUCAACUGUACUACUACAACCAAUGUCAUAGUCGUAUUCUCCUAAAUAAACUUCAUAAUCAUUAGGGAUAGCUGAUCUUCUUUCUCGAGUAGUCCUCCUUGGUUCAAUAACUAGUGGAUCUACUGGUGUAAUAAUUGGUUCAUCAACUUGAGCAAUAACUGGUGUGUCAACGGAUGUCACUGAAGAUGUGGUUGGUUUAAUCGAAAAUAAGGGUAUAACUACUGUUAAUGGUUGAUGGUCCAAUGAAUUAGAAACCUCUGAAGUAUUAACAUCUGCUACAUCAUUUUCUAAGAAUUUUGCUGUUCGAGAAUCUACAAUUAUUGUUCCACCAUGAGGUCUAUAAAAUCGAUAUACCUUAUAAUGAUUCGGAUAUCCCACAAAAUAGCAUGUCACUGUUCUUGAAUCUAACUUGUUUAAUGUUGGAUUGUAUAAUUUCACCCCUACAGGAUAACCCCAAAUCUUCAAAUGAUUUAAACUAGGUUUUCUACCUGUCCAAAGUUCAAAAGGUGUAACUGGUACUGACUUACUUGGGACUCGAUCAAAAUAUACAAUGCUGCUUGUAUUGCUUCACCCCACAAGAAUGUUGUUAAAUUUGCUCUACUAGUCAUGCUUCUCACCAUAUCCAUUAGGGUACGAUUUCUUCUUUCUGCCGCUCCAUUCUGCUCAGGAGUUCCUGACAUAGUGUAUUGCCCAAUUAUUCCAGAUUCUUCCAAAUAUUAUGCAAAAGGACCUUUAAGUUGUCCAACAUCUCCAUGUUUACCGUAAUAUUCUACACCUCUAUCUAUCUGAUCUAACAAUCUUUAUAGAUUUUUCCAAUUGUUUCUCAACUUCUGUUUUGAAUACUUUAAAUUUCUCUAAAGAUUCAUAUUUUUCUUUGAUAAGAAACAAAUAGCCAUAUUUAGAAAAAUCAUCUAUAAAUGUUAUAAAAUAUAAGCAUCCACACAGAGUUUUAUGAUAUGGUCCACUAAUAUCCGUAUAAAUAAUCUCCAAAAGACUAGUGUUACGAGUAGCAGUCUUUUUGCCUUUCUUGGUCAUUUUCCUCUUAAGACAAUCAAUACAUUCUGCAUUGUCAUUAUCUAAAGAAGGAAGAAUGGUCGAUUUAACCAAUCUUUUAAUUCUAUCUUGUGAAAUAUGAUCUAACCUUUUAUGCCAUAACGUAUAUGAUUUUUCUUUAUUUAAGGGUCUUUUGGAAACUGUAUUUUCCACAUUACAAGCUAUAUAGAACUUCAUAGAAUCAAGACAUAAUCUGUAUAGGUCAUAAGACAAAACACAAUUACCCAUAAUCUUUGAGUUAUGAAACAUUGAAACUGUAUUGUUCUUAAAUUCAAAAGAAAAACCAUGUUUUCUUAAUUUACUAACAGAAAUUAGAUUCCGUCUAAACGACGGAGCAUACAAAGUGUCUUUCAAUGUUAAACCAAAUCCUGAAUCUAGAUUUAAAAUAACAUCGCCCACAAAUUCUAAAUCAGUUUGUCCAUCAUUUCCUACUAACAAUCUUGAUUCAUCCUGAUUUGGCUUCCUUCUAUUUGUGAAUCCCUGUAUGGUGAAUGCAACAUGAUUAGUUGCUCCACUAUCCAACAACCAAGAACUAGAUGAAGAUUCUAUUAAAUUAGAUUCAUAAACUAAUGUCAAAGAAUCAAUACCUUUUUGUUCCUGUUUUAUGAGCCAAGAUUUAAACUUUAAGCAAUUCUACUUUAUGUGUCCCGGUUUCAUACAGAAGAAACAUCCAUUGAUUGCUUUCUUGAGGGAGUUCUUGUUAGAACCAAAUUUGUCAGAUAAGUUGGUAUCCUUAGAAUCUUUAUUUUUCACAAACAUUUUGAACUUAAAUCCUUUCUUAUUUGAACUAUACAUUGUUAUCGAAGAUUUUUCGCCUUUUAUUUUAUCUCCUAUGUCUCCAAAUAAUUAUUUCUUUUAAUUCGAGCCCAGCUCGCGGGUUCGAGCCCGGGCCCAAACCUAACAAUUCUUAAAACGAGCCGAGCCCGAGCCUGGCUCUAUAAGCAAAAGCUCAACUUGUUUGACACCCUAAUCUCUGAUAAAUAUUCCGAGAAUAUUUUGCCACUUAUCUUCAAAUUCUGAAGUUUUUUGGCGUAGACUCAUCACAUACGAUCGAGAAUUAGAUGCAAAUUGCAUUUGAAGUGUUUCCCAUACCUCAUGUGCCGUAGCACAAUCAGAGACUUCCGACAGUACCGAGGGUGAAAUUGAUGAAAAUAGCCAUCCUAAAAUCAAUUGAUCUUGCUUGAUGGCAAGAGAGUUGUCCAAUUUUUCCCUACCGGCCAGAUAGUCCAUCAGCUCAUGACCUCGGAUAUUAGCCCCAAAUUGGGCUCUCCACGCGAAGUAAUUGCUGCGGUCUAGGGCUACAGUCUUGAAGUUCUUGGCGGUCACCUUUCCUGGUGCGUCGUUGCCAUAGAGCUUCUUUGCAGCCAGCGAAAUCCCUUUGUCAGCUUCGUCAAUCGACAUUGCGUAUCGGAAAAAAAUUGUGAUCGUCAACGAUCUUGGAGCGAUUCCGAUGAUCAGAGAUGUGCGGCUUCCCAAGAUCAGCUAGGCGAAAGGUACCAUAACAGUGAAUUGAAAUAUAUGAAUGGGGAAAGCCAAACUCGAUCCCUUUCAUAUUCAAUAGAAAGAUCUAUUUAUACAAUUUGUUACUCUAAUAUCCUAUUUGUUUGUUCUUUUGUAUUAUCGAUAUUUAUUGUCUAUUUUUUAUAAUGUUCUUGUCUAUUUUUAUAUUUACAGUCUAUGGUUUUUAGUCCUUGAUACUUGAUAGAUAUUUGAUAUCUAUUAUAUAUUUUAUCUAUUUUUAUGGUUUCUUUGUCGUUUUCUUUAUUCAUUUUUAUUCAUUCUUGUUCUAUUAAUAGGUUACCAAAUUCUUGUUCUAUUUGAAGAAGAGAGUUUCCCAUCUCUUACUCGGGUACCUUCUCCAAGUUAUAAGGAACCAGAUGGAGGCCAUUGAAUUGUUAGUCUACCUUCCUCCAUUGGAGUCUGAGGCAUAGAUGGACCGAAAGGAGAAUCAUCUAGCUUUAGAUGGUGGAGGAGAGCACGACUUGUGCUAGAACUUGUUCAAGAAAUUUGACAAAUUUACGCUUCUCAACCUUACUCAUGGCUCUCGCGUCUUGAUGUUUCAAGAGUUGUUCGUGGAGGGUACGUAAGGCUAUCCCCAAUUGAAUCUUUGACUGGGGGAGAGAUGAUUCCGUCAGGGAAUUUAAUGUAAAAAUUCGAAAAACAAACAGAUAACAUUAUUAUUAGAGGAAAUGUUUCAAAUAAAAUAUUUAAAAUGAUAUAUUUUGUGAAAUAUUAAUUUAGAACGUUCAUUUAUUUUAAAUUAAAUGAAACACAUAUUAAGGUAGAUCAUAUCUCGAGGUUGUAUAUCUCAAUUUACUCCAAAUAAAUAUGUUAGAUUAAUAUCUCAUUUGAAGUUUACCCUAUUAAUAGAUGAGAGAUCGGAGAUCGAACGACAGGAUGGAAUUAGUGGAAUGUUUUAGAGAUUAAUUUUAUACCAUUUAAAUGAAAUAAAAGAGUACUUAUACUAUUACAAUAUUUGUAAUUAAUUAAUUCUAAAGGAUUUUUAAUAUAAAAAUUCUAAUUGAAGCAGCGGUCUUCCGCUUCUCUCUCCGGCUCGGACCCGGUUCAUCACCGUUGGGUGAUUUUUUUUUACCGUGGUCUUCCCCCAAUUAAGUUAGGAUUUAGGUCGUCUUCUUCAACAACAACUCUUCUAAUCGUCAUGCUAUCUUCCUGGAUAGUGGAGCAGUCUAUCAGCAUCAUAUCAUCGUCGGCUUCUUCAGAUUCGGCAUUGUCUUCAAUGUUGAUAGGAGGGAAAAGACGCAACACAUCUUCAUGAAAUUCCCAAGACGAGUCCUCCGGUAUCGCUCCAUUCCAAGCGACCAGCCAUUGAUUUCUCUGUCUCGAUCUCACCCUGAAAAAUGGUACGUUUAUUAGAAUAAAUAACUUCUACUGUUUUGUUAGUUGAGUUUAAUAUUCUCAAAUACAAGUUUAUACAAUGAGUUAGUUGUUAGAGGUUAAUUAGUUUUAGAUACUCUUUCUUAUAAAUACUUUUGUAAGACUGUAUUCUUGGUUAAUGAAUUGAGUUCUUUCUUUUGAGAUUAUUGUUGAAUUGAGCUUGAAACAAGCACCAAAAUCUUGGUACUCAAGACUGAGUGCAUUCCUAAUAUUAAAUGAAUUCUCUAACAGUCUGGCAGAUACAUUAUUGUUUCAAAAAAAAGAUAAUAUUUUAAUUUGAGUAAUUGUGUAUAUAUAUAGAUGACAUUAUAAUUUCAAGAAACAACAACAUUGAAAUUGAAGUUUUUAUUAAAAAUCUUUGUACUGCAUGAAUUUAGAUGUAGAGACCUAGGACUUUUGAAAUAUUUCUUUAGUAUAGAAAUUAGAUACAAUUUUGAUGGGUCACUUAACAUGACUCAAUCUAGAUAUGCAUUGCUUAUUUUAAGUAAAAACAACAUGCUAAAUUGUAAACUCAUAAGAACAUUAAUAUUGCCAAAUUCCAAAUUGUCCAAAGAAAAUGGAGAAUUGUCCAAAGAAAUUAAGAUGACACCAGAAAAUCAACAACAAGCUAUUGUGUAUAUAUCGGAGGAAAUCUAGUGACAUGGUCAUCAAAGAAAUAGACAACUAUUUCAAGAUCCAGUGCUGAGGCUCAAUAUAUAGCCUUAGCAAGUCAUACAACUGAAAUUAGAUGGACUCACUUCAUAUGUAAGGACCUUCUACAUAAUUUACAUCAGAAACCUUUGUUAUAUACAGAUAACAGUUCAGCCAUUUUUAUGGCUAGAAACUGUUAAGUUUUGAUAGGUGUAUGAAAUAUAAUCCAAGUAUGGUUUAAUGAUUAAUCCAGAGUAAAGCAAAAUAGUGUUGAUACAGCGGAUAGUAUUGAUUGUUUAAUUUAUCUAAUGAGUAUGAUCAAGAUGUGUUGCAGGUAGAUAAUGUUUGACAGGGAUGAUAUAUAUAUGAUUUGUCCAAGUAGAUGCGGAGAUAUGUGUAUGCAUGCAAUAGAUAUCAGGUAUGAUAUAUAUAUAUGCAGGUGAUUUAGCAAUACUGAGAUCGUUUGGAGAGCGAGGAGAUGACGAUGUAGGAGAGUCGAUGACUGAGUGUAGAGCAGAUCGGAGUGAAGCUGAUGAUGACUUUGAUCCACAGAUGAUGAUUAAUCCCAAAGGGAGUAUGAUUUUGAAACUUAGUAUCACAAACUGUAAAACAAUGUUAGGUUUGAAUUUGAUAUAUAUAGAUGGUUUAAAUGUUUGAUUCCAGCUUAUAACGGUCAUAAGCUCAAGGUUCAACUGGCGCUUGUUGUCAAUGUUGCUGAAGGCAAAGGUGGCAUCAAGUGAUGGUUGGACCUUCCUAGGAUUUCUAUCAUAUUGAAGGUUUAGGUAUUAAAUUGAUCAUGUAAGGGUUUAGAUUAUAAAUUGGUUAAUGAGGGUUCAUAUUGUAAAUGUUGUAAAUGGAUUUAUGUAAUAAUUUUAUACGCCCCCUCAAAAGCGAGUUGGGCUGAAAAGAAACGAACUUUUGGACUGGUCCAUGUUCCAAUCUUUAAAUAUAAAAAGGGUUUUGUAAAUUUGAUUUUGAUUAUAAACACGAAUCGUCCUGUAGGGUUUCAGCGGGAAAUGAGGGUUUCACUGGAAGCAAGGGUUUGCUGGAGGCAAUCGUUCGGGUAUGUUUCUAGUCUUCUUCUUUUGUGCAUGUCGCUCUAUUCCUCUUGUUUAUGUUGUCUUUGGUUGGGUAUCCUUAUUCAUUUGUAUUCUUAAUGGGUUUUGUAGUGGGUGUUCUGUCUGUUAAUGUGUUUGCAUGUCAGUGUUUUCUUUCUUGGUGUUUGUUUUCCUUCAUCCAUUGUGUUUGUUUUCCUCUAUCAGUCUGUUCUGUGUAAGUUUUCCAUUUUCAGUUUCUUUUUGAGAUGAUUGAAUAGAUAUCCUGUAACAUCUUUUGUGAAGAUGUCUUCCACGUUUUCUUUGGUGUUUACCCUUUCUAUUUCAAUCUCUUUUUGCAAAGCUUUGUCUCUGAUCGUGUGUGUAUCGAUUUCUAUGUGUUUUGUUCUUAAUUUGAUGUAAGACUGGGUUUGUUGCGAUUGCAGUUGCAGAGGAACUAUUAAUUUGUAUAGAGUUUUGGAGUUACUAUAUUUACUUGCAUUUCCUUUAAUAGUUGUUUUAGCCAUGUGAUUUCACAAGUUGUGUGUGCUAAGGGUCGGUACUCUGCCUCUGCUGACGAUCUUGUUACUGUAUGUUGUUUUUUGGUUUGCCAUGAAACUAGGUUAUCAUUCAAGAAGAUGGCAAAUCCUGAUGUGGAUCGUCUGGUUGUGGGGAAAGAGGCCCAGUCAGAGUCUGAAAAUACUUUAAUCCUUGCGGUUCUUGUGCCUGAUGAGAAGAAAAGUCCACUUGCUGGUGAGUUUUUAAUGUAUCUUAAUAUUUUGUUCAACUUAGUAGAGUCUUCAUUUGUUGGUUCUGACAUGUGUUGGCUUAGUUGGUUUACUACAUAUGUUAUAUCGGGUUUGGUUACAGUUAGGUAGACAAGUUUUCCAACUAUGCAUUUGUACUCAGUAGGAUCAUCAAGUAAUUUAAUUUCCUUGUUCUGUUUGUUUGACGAUCUUGAUGGUGUAUAGAGUGGGUAUUCUCCUGGUUUAGCAUGUAGAUAGUUGUUUUGUUCAAGGAUUUCUAAUGCAUAUUUUCUUUGGGUAAUAAAAAUCCCAUGUUGUGUUGUUGUGAAUUCUAAUCCUAAGAAUUUUUUUAAUGUUCCUAGAUCUUUGAUGUUAAAAAAACUGGUUAAAUCUGUCUUAAGUUUGAUUAUUUCUUUUAAGUUAUUUCCUGUGAUUAAUAGAUCAUCUACAUAUGGUAAGAUGAAAAUUUUAUUUUUCCCAUUGAUCUUACUGAAGAGUGCAUAAUCCUCUCUUGUCUGUUUAAAACCUAAUUUGUUUAGUACUUGUUGUAGUUUGUUAAACCACAUUCUAGAUGCCGAUCCAGAGGCUCAAUCGCCGACUCCCCAUGAGCCUAGUGGCAGUCUACCAGAACUGUCCACGAAGCCUAGAGUCAGCGAUUCACCCCUGAAGUCGGCGACUUGGUAGUCCCAGUCGGCGACUCCCAGGUGCUGCCUUGAGUACUUGACGUAGACACUCCUUCCAAAUUCGUGGAACUCUUCGAGGGUCCGGCAUAAGGCGACGGAACCCUAGUCCUUGUCGAAGGGCGUUGCUGGGAGUGGCUGACGUGAUCAGGCAUGUCUCACCAGUACUCCCCCCUGAAGAGAGCAUGGCAAAACACCUGUGUACCGCCAGUAUCCCCCCCAAGCAAGGUGAUCUGCAUCAAGGCGAGUAGCGACAAGAUGGGAUUGAGUCAUUGCGCUCACAGCGACACUAAUGGCUCCGCAUGGUCCAUGCACUAUCAGAUGGACUGAUUCACUAUCAGAAUCUAGUUCCAGGCCAAUGGAACUACAUGUUUAUAGUCCUACUCUGAUCAAGAGCGACUUUUGCUGUGUGGAUUCUGGCCGAAGCGACAAAAUGCAUGGAUUCACUAUUAGAAUCUGAUUCUGGCCGAAGCGACAGAAUGCGUGGAUUCACUAUUAGAAUCUGAUUCUGGCCGAAGCAACAGAAUGCGUGGAUUCGUUAUCCGAAUCGGGUUCUGGCCGAAGCGACAAAUCGCGUGGAUUCAUUAUUAGAAUAUGAUUCUGGCCGAAGCGCGAGAAUGCGUGGAUUCGUUAUCCGAAUCGGGUUCUGGCCGAAGCGACAAAUCGCGUGGAUUCAUUAUUAGAAUCUGAUUCUGGCCGAAGCCCGAGAAUCUAGUUCACUAUCAGAACUGAUGUUUAUAGUCUACCCUGAUCAAGAGCGACUUGGUGUCCGCAACGACGGUUACCCCAUAGGCCGAAGCGCAAGAUGGGUCGAGAUCAUUAAGGUCAAAGCGACAAAAUGAUCUCCAAAUGUUCGAAGGACUAUUGAAGCCAAAGUGACAACAUAAUUCUUGCCGAAGCGACAGAAUCAUGCCUGCAAAACAAAAAACAACCUGCAAAACAACUAUAUCAGUCUAAAGGAUAUAUUUAUUGAUUUACUGACCUUGCCGUGCGGAGCAGCCUCUCAUGCUGCUCCUCCUUAUGCUCAAUAAAUCCUUGAUUGAUCUGUCCGAAGCGACAGAUCUUUCAUGCUAAAAAAUGUGACAGCUUCUGGCCGAAGCGACAGAAGUGCCGACUCACUAUUAGAGUCUGAUUCUGACCAAGGCUACAGAUCCACNNNNNNNNNNNNNNNNNNNNNNNNNNNNNNNNNNNNNNNNNNNNNNNNNNNNNNNNNNNNNNNNNNNNNNNNNNNNNNNNNNNNNNNNNNNNNNNNNNNNNNNNNNNNNNNNNNNNNNNNNNNNNNNNNNNNNNNNNNNNNNNNNNNNNNNNNNNNNNNNNNNNNNNNNNNNNNNNNNNNNNNNNNNNNNNNNNNNNNNNNNNNNNNNNNNNNNNNNNNNNNNNNNNNNNNNNNNNNNNNNNNNNNNNNNNNNNNNNNNNNNNNNNNNNNNNNNNNNNNNNNNNNNNNNNNNNNNNNNNNNNNNNNNNNNNNNNNNNNNNNNNNNNNNNNNNNNNNNNNNNNNNNNNNNUAUUAGAACCUUUCCUGCAAAAAAGAAAACAUCCUGCAAAAUAACUAGAUCAGUUCGAAAACGCAUAUAUUUAUUAUUGAACUUACCGUGUGAUCUACCUUUCGUGAUGUCCCUCCUUUGCUCAAAUUUGUCCUCGGUAAAUCUGGCCGAAGCGACAGAUUUUACCGUGCUCAAUUUCUUUGACGACUUCUGGCCGGAGCGACAGAAGUGUCGGGAGAGCUUGUGAUACUCCCCCCUGAAAUGUGACGACUUCCAUCCUAUAGACAGAAGUGCCGGGAGAGCUUGUGAUACUCCCCCUCGAAAUGUGACGACUUCUAUCUAAAUAGACAGAAGUGCCGGGAGAGCUUGUGAUACUCCCCCUCGAAAUGUGACGACUUCCAUCCUAUAGACAGAAGUGUCGGGAGAGCUUGUGAUACUCCCCCCUGAAAUGUGACGACUUCCAUCCUAUAGACAGAAGUAUCGGGAGAGCUUGUGAUACUCCCCCUCGAAAUGUGACGACUUCCAUCCUAUAGACAGAAGUGUCGGGAGAGUUUGUGACACUCCCCCUCGCGAAUUGUGCCCUUGUGACACAAAAACAUUUGCGACGAGUGUUUUUCGAAGUAUGUGACUGUCGGUGAACUAUCUAUUGUUUUUCCUUUGCUAAUCUUUCAUAUAAAUUACCCUUCAAAUUGUAACUAAGGCCCGAAACUAGAUUCACAAGUCGUAAUUUAGCCACUCUGGACGUAAAUUAGACUCUGCUAACCCUAUUGCUAGCCACUCUGGGCAUAGACUUGGUCGUACGAAUCGUAGCUCAGUCUACGGUUAAAUUUAUGGACAAUUUAUACCUCUAGACUAGCGUCGGAUUACUAGAGAUAGAGUAAACGACGAAUCAGAGAUAUUCGACACUCAAAGGUUGCCUUAAAAUUCGGAACCUUAACGAUGGAGAGAGCUUGUGAUACUCCCUCCUGAAAUAUGAUGACUUCUGGCCGAAGCGACAGAAGUGUCGGGAGAGUUUGUGAUACUCCCCCCUUGAAAUUUGACAACUUCUGGUCGAAGUGACAGAAGUGUCGGGAGAGUUUGUGAUACUCCCCCCUGAAGACUUGCACUUGGGGCAGUUUUAGUGUUAUUUUACCCGGAAUCGGCAACAAGAGUUUGUGAUACUCCUACAGUCGGCGAUACCUAUGGUUUGGGUAACUGUAGAGGGUAUUUUUGUUUUUUACCCCUGCGAGUCGGCGACUCCCUCUGUGAGUCGGCGACUCCUAGUGUAACCGCCGGAUCUUUUUGGGAGAUCCUUGGGAUAUUGGGAAGAUAUACGGGGAUUAUUUGUAAAAUCUCCAAAUAAGGAAAUUUUUCUCACAGUGCUGUGAGUUUUUGCCCGGAGUCGACGACUGCCCUGUGGAGUCGGCGACUUGGCGUGAUUCGGGGGAUUUGGAGAUCGAUUCUUGAUCUCAAAUUUUGUAAAUUUUGGGUUUUCUAGGGGGUUUUUGCAAUUUUCCCAAGGGCUAUAAAUAGUGGAGAGGUUUUCCCCAAACCCUCACAACACUUUUGCCACUCUUAAAUCGCCCACACCUCCAGAUUUUUGAAUCGUCGAUUCUUCAGUUUUAAAACUUCGAAUCGCAGAUUCCCCCAAUGUCUACCCCCGAUUCCCCUUUGUCUCCAUUGAAGGAAAACGAAACGUCAGCUUUCAUAGCUGAGAUGAUUGUGGACAACCUUGAUGAGGUGUUGAACACCGUUGAAUCGCCGAUUCCCUCUCCUGACAGAGAGGUUGAGCCGGCGAUUCCGGUCGUGCCACCUCAUGGAAUGGAGUUGAGUGCCACCGUGCACGAACUACUUGGCGCCUCGCCAGUGUCGGCGACUCCCCUUGUGGAGUCGGCGACUCAGUGCAGGGCCCUUGUAGUCGUACGGGAGCCUCUUGAGCUGGGGGAAAUUCCCGUGGCCUCUGUGUCGGCGACUCCCAUUGUGGAGUUGGCGACUCACGCAGGUCCUGUUAAAGGGAAAUCCUUCAAGCGAAGGGGGCAGGGCUCAGCUGCCAUUGGGUCGGCGACUGCUGGCCAUGCCUCGCCGAUUCCUAUCAUUGAAUCGGCGACUCGUGUGCUGGAGUCGGCGACUCCUAUGCUUAUUGAUGAUUCUUCCGCGCGUCGCACCGUACCAUUGGUCAUGAGCGCGGAAGGCCGAAUCGUGUCGGGACUGAACCCGAACCAAGGUCCUUCUCUGAAGAGAAAGAGAAGGCGCACCACUGGGAAGGGCAAAGUACGCGUGCCCGAAGAGAACGAAGGGGUCCCUCCUCCAUUGAAUAUAAACUUCGAGGAGACCUUGACUGUGGACCGUGGUGCUCAAAAUCCAUGACGUAGAGCGGGCCGGCGCUCUGAGAGAACUCCGCCACCUCCCGUGGAUCUGAACGCUAGUCGAGACCCGGACCUCGACUUGAACACGUACGUUGGAGCUUUGAACCCCUCUGGGUUCGCUCACUGUGAAAUCGCCGCGAAUGGCAUACCAAGGUUGCUUCCUAUCGACCGUUUUGGGGACGGCGAUUAUGAACAAGUGAUGACUCAUGCAACCUUGGAUGGGUCCGAUGGAGUGAAUCCCCCCUCCAAUUUGAAUGCGAGCGACGCUCGAUCACUGCUGUCGGGGAUUCAGAUAUCUGGUCAUCUGCGAUUCUGGAUGUCGCGAUACCAGCCGAUUAAUCUGCCAUCCCCGGGAUUCUAGGCUAUCCCGAGGAUCUACUUCAAGCACUUCUCCGAGCUGCCAAUUCCGGAGAUCAUCAGUGAAGUGCUCUUGAGAUUUGAAGUGUCCCUGUCGCAGCUCCCUGCGGGAUUCUUUGUGAUCCUGCGUGGUUUCAUGAACAUCUGCUGGGGGCUCAAUGUUGCUGCGACGGCGAGCUUGUUUCUGUACUUCUACAAGCUCACCAGAGAGAAGUCUGCAUCCGGUCGCUUUGGAUUCACGCGGCGACACUUUGACAAAAAUAUCGUCGACGAGCUCCCGACGAACUUCGGAUGCAACUGGAGAAAAGAGUUUAUCUUCAUAACUUCUGAAUUUCUUCCCGGGAGUCGGGAAAUGUGGAAUGACCCUAAUCGAGUGCAUAUGAACGCCUCGAUCGAGCUGAGUACGAGGGAUAUUGAGGUCUCGGAUCGGAUAGCGCGUACGCUUACUGCAUACUCUGUGCCGCGCGGUGUUCCCUUUGUCCUUUGCCAAAGGGAAGACUUUACAUUUGAUGAUAUUGAGGAAGCUCGUGAGCCACCCACUGAGAAAGAGCUGGAAGGUGGACAAAAACGAUCGAUCCUAUACCACGACGCUGCACCUCUUUAUAUGCGCAAGAGGUUCCGAGAGGGCAAGCUGAUCAGAUUGCGAAAGAAGAAGACCUCUCGCAGCGAGCCUCGCCGGACCUUUGAGCAUGGGUCGAGCUCUCGCUCUGCACCACCACCUCCCAGGGGCUAUGUGCCUUACACUUCUGCUGGAGUGACACUUCCCGACUUCAUGGCUGAUGCUGAAACUCGAAGGGAAGCGAUGUCACUCCUUUUGGGUCAUCCUGGGACCUGGUGCCGGAGCGAGCUCUUAAAGCAUUUGAAUGCCGCAUGCUAUAUGGCACAUGCUUGUUAUCAUGGAGACUCUAUCCAUGACGUCGAGAAGAUACAAGAAAAAUACAACCAACUCGACGCGAAGUUCAAAGAGAGCGAGAAGGCUCUCGAUAAGCUGAAGAAUAUGAGGUCCAGGAUGGAGAACCUCCGUGACAAUAUUCUGCCGAAGAAGGACAAGACCAUUGAGUCCAAGCAGAAAGAAAUAGAUGAGUAUGUCACGAAGAUCUUGGCGCUUCGCAAAGAUCUGAAAGUUGCUAGUUCUGGCAGCACUAAAGACAUUGAAGAUCUAAAGAGCCAACUAGCUAAUGAGAAAGGGUACGUGGCCUCGCUUGAGGCUACGGUAGCGGAGUUGAAGAAGCAAGCUGCUCAGAGCCAACGAGAAACCACUGAGCUGAAAAGCGAGCUUGCAAGUGCGGAAGAAGAGGUUCUGACUCUGAAAGAUGACAAUGCCGCACUUGCUGGGAGAGCUGCUGGGUUGGAUUUGGAUGUACGUUACCAAUCCGACCAGCUUCAAGAGCUCAUAUUCUUUGGUCCUUCCGUGUAUCCUGCUCUACCCCCCGACUACAUCACGGACAUAAUGGCGUGGGUAGAGCAACAUCCUGAAGAGCUCGAGAAAAAUAAAGAAGCUCUCGACAAGAUGAAGGACGAAGCCGCGCGAGAAUAGAUUUUCUAAGUCCUUUUAUUUUGUAACCUUUUUGUACUCGUUAUCUUUUUGUAAAUCUGAAAAUUUUUAAUGAAAUUAAUCGCUUUUGCUUUUCUAUUCAAUUGUUCAUUUACUUUAUUCUUUUGAAUUGUAACUAAGACCCGAAACUAGAUUCGCGAGUCGUAAUUUAGCCGCUCUGGACGUAAAUUAGACUAACCCUAUCGCUAGCCACUCUAGGCGUAGACUUGGUCGUACGAAUCGUAGCUCAGUCUACGGUUAAAUUCGCGAAAAUAAACUAAACUUUACAACUAAUAGUAAGUCGCAAUAUCGAUUAACAAAUUCGAAAGAUAACAAAUAUGUCGAAAGAUAACUAUCAAUCCUAAGACUCUAGAGUUGUAGUUUUGCUCCAGCCAAGGUGACGGAGCAACUUUUUGUCCCAUACCAAAGAUGUAACAAUGAGAUGGGGUGAAAAUUUAAAAACGUUUACUAAUCUAUUAAGGCCGUAGCGACAUGAUAGAUUUUGAUUUGUGGUGGGUACUUAGAACCUCUUGUGGUUGGGUUCACUUGUCCCUAUCAACUACCUAGGACUCUGCUUUUAGACCCUAAUGCGUGGUUGAACUCUGGCCAUGAUGACAGAGCAACUUUUUGGACCCAUAUCUGGGCUGAAGUGAUCAUAAUGUGUUUAAAGAUAAUUUUGAUCUAUUAAGGCAAUAGCGACAAAAUAGAUUCAUAAAGUGGGGUGCUAGCUAGAGUCGUAGGUAGAUGAUAAAUCUAAAUUUUAUUAAAAGAUGUAAAUUACAACAGUAAGAUUUGUAAUUUUUAAACUAACACAUAGACUAAGAGGCUCUAACGUGCUUAAUACUAAGUGCGAUGUUGCUGUACGUUGUCCGUGUGCCAGAUGCAAGGACUUUUGGGUGACAGCUUAUUCCUAUUCCUCUUAGUUAUGCUAGCCUUUCUGUUGGUCUACCACCAGAUAGCAUAUGGAUGGUUUUCCGUGGGUGAUCUUCCCUAUUGUCACUGUCUGGUGAAGGAGAGCGUGGGCGCUUCCCAUUCACGUCAGACUUGCAAUUGUUUCGAUCCCGGGAUCCUUUGACCAGGCUGUCAAGUUCGCCGUUCGAAAUUAAUUGCUCGACAUAAAGCGAGAAUUCCCUGCAAUAGUCUGUCAGAUGGUCGUGGUCCUUGUGGAAUUCACAGAAUUUUCCACUUUUCUGGCGGCGAUCCUUGGUUGCAGGGUUCAUAGAGCGAGGAGCGGGCAGAUCCGCUCUGUUCUUCAGUUUUUCAAACAGCUCGCCUUUGCUGAUUGUUAGUGGGGUCCGGUUCCUCCAAGGUUGAGGUGGACCCCUUGGCGAUCGUUUGACGGAUAUUUGAUACACUUUGUUAUCAUGUUUAGGCUUCCAAUCCUUUCUGAAGGAAUCAGCCGCAUUGCUAGUGUAUCUGUUCGAGGAGUCAUUGUAGCUCUUUCUCUCGAACUUUUGUUUUUUGAAGCUAGUGUUCUCGAGUUCCACUAGCUUGUUUUCAUUCUGCUCUUCCACCUCAAUGAAUGACUGAGCUCGUUGGAAGAGGUCGGGUAAGGUCUCCACUUUGUGGAGUGUGAGAUUCAGGGCCAGAGGGGAGUAGGGUACCAGCACGUUUGUAUACCCCGCAAUGGCCAAACUUGGGAUUAAGUCGCUCACUUCUGUCAUCAUUGAAGUGAACUUAAACGUGUAAUCCCUUAGAGACAGUUUGUCCUGUCGUAGCGCCAAUAGUGCAUUGACGCUGUGUUUGAUCCUGAUCAUCCCCACAUGCUGGGCGAUGAAUUUGGAUGCGAGGUCUGCAAAGCAGGAAAUUGAUCCGGCUGGCAGACCAGAAAACCAUCGAUAGGCAUUGCCCUUAAGAGUGCCGGGGAAUGCUCGACACAGCAGUGCGUUAUCAGUGGUUUGCGGUUCCAGAACGCUGAGGUAGAGGUUGACGUGAUCUUGUGGAUCACUCGAACCAUCGUACGAUUCUAUUCUGGGUACCCGCCAGGUUGGUGGAAAGGCCACCUUCAAAAGGUCCUCUUGGAAAGGAGCGCUUUUGACUCUUAAGAACUCGAUCGGAUUGCUGAUGACUAGAGUGUCAGCCAGCUUCCGACGGAGGUCCUCUACGAAUCGUGUUGUAAGAGUCCUAUCAGUGCGACUCUUACUGGGUCCAGCUCUUAAUUUUUCUGGCUCUGGACCUUUCUUUUUCUCCGUAGUUGGAGAAUUGUGAGAAGCCGAUUUGGUAAGACAUGCCUUAUUACACCAGUCACUACCCAUCAACGCCUCUCAACAAGGACUAGGGCUCCGUCGCUAUGGCAGGACCCCCGGAGAGCUCCCACGGUGCGGAACACGUUCAUCGUCCAGAUCGCCGAGUUAGCCCGUAAAGUCGCCCGAUUGGACUACCAAGUCGCCGAGUUAAGGCAAGAUCGGCAGUAUGGUAGACUGUACGUCUUGGCCCUAGAAACUCGCCGAGUUAGCCCUUAACUAGGUGACUUCCAUACCUGAAUCGGCGACUUACGACCGUUACUCGGCGACAGCCAACGUCAUAAAUGUUACCAUAUAUGACCAUAGGCGCGAUCUCCGCCGAUGAGUGCGCCCUCCGAGACCCUAUAAAAGGGGUCCCAAGGGGACACUCAAAGGCACGAUUCAAGUUCCACUCUCACACCAGAGCACUACACUACGAAACUCGGCGAGUCUCAUUAGAAUCGCCUAGUUUCCACUUGCAGGUAUUUGACGUAGAGCGUGCGUCGUGGACUCCAAAGCCUCCGGCAUCAACCUCGCACCACUGCGAGCCCUGGUAGCAGAUUCAGUGCUUCAUCAGCUGACGCCGUCUGUGGGACUACCGAACCACCGGUAUCCCGUCGUAAUCGCGAUUUUUUAAAAAUCCGGCUCGAGCUCUCCCAAGAGUUCGCCGAGUUUGUCAAAAAAUCGCCUACUUAGAUCGUCCGAUUCUCGGUUAACGUCCGAUUUAGCCUUAAAUCGCCGACUUAUCCUUGAGAAUCGCCCGAUCCGGAAUAUCGUCUGCUAGCUAAGAGUGUUGUCCACGACCUUGUUCGGAAAAACCCCUAACUCGCCGAGUUAACACUUAACUCGCCGACUUAGCUCUUGUUUUCCCAACAGGCUCAGUCAGGUACCUCUCUGCUUUGGUACUUCCUCGCUUUCGCUUUCAUGGCAAUCAUCGAAAAGCAGAAGCACCCUUACGCCACAAGAAGUAAGGGGAAAAUGCCAGCAACUGAGCUGGAACAGGGUGAGCAAUCCCGACCUAAGGGACCCAUCAAUGCUCAACCUGUGGAAACAAACUCGGUUCCUCCUCCUGUCGAGGAACACAUUAUGCCCAAGGCUCCACCCACCUUGGAAGAAAGGUUGUUCAGUUUCAUGGACAACAUUGAAAGAAGGAUGACUAACCUCGAGCAAGCGAGGAGUCAUAGGACCACCACCAUCCGUGAAAGAACGGACGAAUCUGGGUCCAUCUAUUCUCCAUCUGCGGAGAAAAAACAGAGUUCCCGUCCCAAGACGGGACCCAGUAAGAGUCGCUCCGAGAGGACUCUUACUACUCGGUUCGUAGAGGAUCUUCGGCGGAAGUUGGCCACCGACCCAGCCGUCGGCAACACGCACGAAAUCCUGAGGGUUAAAAGUCCUCCUCUUAGCGAGGACCUUUUAAAGGGAGUUUUCCCACCCAACUGGCGGGUACCAAGAAUCGAGGCAUACGACGGUUCAAGUGAUCCAGAAGAUCACGUGAACCUCUACCUCAACGUCUUGGAACCGUAAACCAUCGAUGAUGGGCUGCUGUGUCGGGCAUUCCCCGGCACUCUCAAAGGCAGCGCUUAUCGAUGGUUCUCUGGUCUGCCAGCUGGCUCAGUCACCAGCUUUGCAGACCUCUCAUCCAAGUUCAUCGCCCAACACGUGGGGAUGAUAAGGAUUAAACAUAGUGCCAACGCACUCCUGGCACUGAGACAGGACAAACUGUCUCUGAGGGACUAUACGGUCAAGUUCACCACAAUGAUGACAGAGGUGAACGACCUAAUCCCGAGUGUGGCCAUAGCGGGAUACAUUAGAGGAUUAGUCCCCUACUCCCCUCUGGCCCAAAAUCUGACUCUCUACAAGGUGAGUUCUCUGCCCGAACUCUUCCAACGCACUCAAUUGUACAUUGAGGUGGAAGAGGAGGACGAGAACAAGCUAGCUGAACUUGGGACUCCUAACUUCCAAAAGCCUAAGUUUGAGAGGAAGGGGUACAGUGGAAACAACAAUUUCCACGACACCUCCAACAAGUAUACCAGUAACAAGGCCGAGACUUCCAAAAAAGAAUGGAAGCCUAGGCAUGAUAACAAGAUAUACCAAGCCUCAACCAGCAAGCCAAAGGGUGUAAUUCCACUAUGGAAAAGAAACACCCCGCUUACUAUCAGAAAAGGCGAGCUGUUUGAGAAGCUAAAGAACCGAGCGGACCUACCUGUCCCUCGUUCUUUAGACCCUGCAGGCAAAGAGGGUUGCAUGCAAUCUGGGAAAUACUGUGAAUUUCAUAAAGACAGCGGCCACCUAACAGAUAACUGCAGGGAGUUCUCGUCUUUCGUCGAACAGUUGAUCUCAAAGGGAGAACUUGGCAACUUCGUCAAGAACUCCCGAGGACGGGACAACUGCAAAUCUGACACAAAGGGGAAGCGUCCGCGCUCUCCUUCGCCAGACACUGACAACAGCGAGAACCGCCAGCGGAAGACCAUCAAUAUGAUAUUUGGUGGUGGAUCCGUUGGCCAGAACAGGGGAUAUUCCCGAAAGGUGUUGAUGUCACAGUCAACACCUCGAGACAACGGAAAGCGGUAACAACUUGGAGCUAUCUUAAAAAGGAUACAUUAAAGAGUAACAAAAAUGAUAUUGGAUGGUUCUAUUCCAUUUCCAUCUUGAGAAAAGACAUAAUUGUGAUACAAUGUUCUUCAGAAGAUCGAGAAUACAACUUGUACGUCCCUGUUCUUUUAUUAUUUGGUUAUUUACAGUCUAUGGUUUCUAGUCCUUGAUAGAUGUUAGAUAUUUAAUAUUAUUUAUCUAAUAUAGGUUUUAUCUAUUUUUGUGGAUUUCUUUGUCGUUUUCUUUACAUGUCGAUUUUUAUUUAUUCUUAUUCUAUUAAUAGGUUAAUAAAUUCUUGUUCUAUUUGAAGAAGAGAGUUUCCCACCUCUUCCUCAGGUACGUACCUUCUCCAAGUUAUAAGGGACCUGAUGGAGGUCAUUGAAUUCUUAGUCUACCCUCCUCCAUUAUAGUCUGGGGCAUAGAUGGGCAGGAAGGGGAAUCAUCUUUAAAUGGAGGUGAUUGCCACCACUAAGUCAGACUUUAUCACAUUCCGGUGAUGGAUAUACACUUCCGAUGUUAUAAAAUCAUAUAUAAAAACCAACAUUGUCUCUGAUACCAAAUGAUAGAAAUUAUCAUACUUUAUUAUCUAUGAUUUUUAUAUCAAGAAUGUAAUGUACUUACAGAUUCAAACGCAACUUGUGUUGAAUCCAUUACAACGGAAGUACAUACUUGAUCUCUGUAUGUUUCUUUUGCCUUUCUUCUGAGAUUUUCUCUUUUUUGGGAUUCCUGAGACUUGUCUCUAUUGGAUGUCUUCUUUUGGACUAGUAGAAUAGACGAUGUUUCUUUAACCCUCAUAUCUUAUUUAUAUAAAAGCAAUGGGUUAUUUACACAUUGAUCCAUAUAUUGAUACUCCCACUUGAUCUACUACACAUAUAUUAACCUUUACUCAACCAUAUAAACAAUCUUUAAUGCAUGCUUUGUUUAUUUUUCUUUUUAAGUCUACACUCGGUCUCAUAAAGACAACAAUAAUAAAUCACAGCGUCACUAUGUCUAAAUGUGCAACAUAGAAACUUCUGUGUAUCACAUUACGUUCGUCUUUAUUAACAUUAGCUUCAUGUGGUAGUGCAGCAAACUGAAUGAUACUUUAUAUAUGUAUCAUUUUAUUGUCAGUCCUCUGUAAUCUAAUCCUUAUGGUGAGCCCAUACUCACACUAGACAUUAUUUAUGAUUCUCAUGAACCUUAAUCAAUUUAUGUAUCAUUUUUCUUCUUUAUUGUGAAAUACAUCACACAAAAAAAAAAUGUAUACCUACUAUAUUAUUUUCUCAUCUUUAUUGUAAAAACCAUCACAAAAGAAAAUUUUAACUUUAUAAUUUCAUUUUUAUUGUGAAAAUCAUCACAAGAGUAAAAUUUAACUUUAUAAUCUCAUCCUUAUUAUGAAAUUCAUCACCGGAGACCUUGUUUAAUUUCUUAAUUCAUUCUCACAAAUUAAUCAGAGUUAAAUAAGAAAUUGACAAAUCAUUUAUUAAAAUACAAUUAUUGAAGUUUUGAUAAUCUAAUAAAUAAAUUAAAUCUGAGUAUAAAUAAUAAUAAUAAAUUAUUACAAGAUUGAAAAUAUAAAAUAUUACAUAUGGAAAUAAAAUUACUUUCACUUAAACGAUGACAUCCCAAGAACCCAACAAACUCAUUGCUAAAAUAUGUGAAUUUAGUAUGUUAGGUUGUCCUUUAGUGAGUGGAUCAGCUAGCAUAUCAUUAGUACUAAUAUGACCGACUAUGAUAUCAUUUUCUCUACCUUUUUCUUUGAUUUUUAGAUACUUCAAUUUUAUAAACUUUGUAGACGUGACACUUUUGUUGUUGUUAAUACUCAACACUGUCGAAAGGUUAUCACAGUAUAUUUGAAUUGGUCUUUCAACAAAAUUGAAAACUUUCAAUUGUUGAAUGAAACUUUUUAACCAACUUGAUUGAAUUGAAACUCCAAAGCAUGAAAUAAAUUCAGCUUCCAUGGUUGAUGUGGCUAUUAACUUUUGUUUUUCACUUCUCCAAGAUACAGCACCACCUGCCAUUUUGAAGAUAUAACCAGAGGUUGACUUCUUUUCAUCUUUACAUCCAGCAAAAUCUGAGUCUAAAUAUCCAACUAGAUUCAAGUUUUCAACUCGAGUAUAUGUUAAUCUAUAAUUUCGAGUACCUUUUAAAUAUCUCAAAACUUUCAUCGCAACAACCCAAUGAUCCAAGCCUGGAUUAACUUGAUAUCUUCCUAAGAGUCCAACCAUAAAUACAAUAUCUGGUCUAGUGCAUACCUGAGCAUACAUUAGACUUCCAUAAAGAAAUGCUUUCAUUUCAUUCUUCUGCAAGUUUGUUAGAGGACAUUGAGCUAAAUUCAAUUUAUCACCUUUUACAAUUGAAGCAACACUUGACUUACAUUCUGAGAGAUUAAACCUUUGUAAUAUACGAUCGAUGUAAGCUGAUUGAACAAGACCUAACAAAUGUCUAGAUCGAUUUCUGUUGAUCUCAAUACCAAGAACAAAAGAUGCUUCACCCAAAUCUUUCAUAUCAAAUUCACUUGAUAAGAAUUUCUUUGUUUCAAAUAAUAUACUUAAAUCGUUGCAAGCAAGUAAUAUAUCAUCAACGUAUAGAACAAGCAAAACAUAUUUGCUCCCUCUGACCUUGUGAUAUAUACAUGGAUCCAUGAGAUUUUCCGAAAAACCAUAUGAAGAAAUGAUUUCAUGGAAUUUAAUAUGUCAUUGUCUUGAUGCUUGUUUAAGUCCAUAUAUAGACUUUUUAAGUCUAUAAACAAGCUUGUCAUUUUCUUCAAAACCUUGUGGUUGCGUCAUAUAUAUUUCUUCAUUGAGAUUCCCAUUAAGAAAAGCGGUUUUAACAUCCAUUUGAUGUAGUUCUAGAUUGUAGUGAGCCACUAAAGCCAUAAUGAUUCUAAAAGAAUUCUUCGAGGAAACUGGUGAAAAUGUUUCAUGAUAUUCAAUUCUCUCUCUUUGAGUGAAUCCUUUGGCAACCAAUCUAGCCUUAAACCGCUAAAUCUUUCCUCUGGAAUCUCAUUUGGUUUUAAAAGCCCAUUUGCAACUCACAACUUUAACACCCUCAGGUAACUGAAUAAGUUCUCAUUCUUUAUUAUGGUACAUAGACUGCAUCUCAUCUUUCAUUUCAUCUUGCCACAAAUCACAUUGUGCACUUGCAACCGCUUGAUCAUAUGAGAUAGGGUCAACUGUACUACUACAACCAAUGUCAUAGUCGUAUUCUCCUAAAUAAACUUCAUAAUCAUUAGGGAUAGCUGAUCUUCUUUCUCGUGUAGACCUCCUUGGUUCAAUAACUAGUGGAUCUGCCGGUGUAAUAAUUGGUUCAUCAACUUGAGCAAUAACUAGUGUGUCAACGGAUGUCACUGAAGAUGUGGUUGGUGUAAUCGAAAAUAAGGGUAUAACUACUGUUGAUGGUUGAUGGUCCAAUGAAUUAGAAACCUCUGAAGUAUUAACAUCUGCUACAUCAUUUUUUAAGAAUUUUGCUGUUCGAGAAUCUACAAUUAUUGUUCCACCAUGAGGUCUAUAAAAACGAUAUCCCUUAGAAUGAUUCGGAUAUCCCACAAAAUAGCAUGUCACUGUUCUUGAAUAUAACUUGUUUUAUGUUGGAUUGUAUAAUUUCACCCCUACAGGAUAACCCCAAAUCUUCAAAUGAUUUAAACUAGGUUUUCUACCUGUCCAAAGUUCAAAAGGUGUAACUAGUACUGACUUACUUGGGACUCGAUUCAAAAUAUACAAUGCUGCUUGUAUUGCUUCACCCCACAAGAAUGUUGGUAAAUUUGCUCUACUAGUCAUGUUUCUCACCAUAUCCAUUAGGGUACGAUUUCUUCUUUCUGCCGCUCCAUUCUGCUCAGGAGUUCCUGACAUAGUGUAUUGCCCAAUUAUUCCAUAUUCUUCCAAAUAUUGUGCAAAAGGACCUUUAAGUUGUCCAACAUCUCCAUGUUUACCGUAAUAUUCUCCACCUCUAUCUAUCUGAUCUAACAAUCUUUAUAGAUUUUUCCAAUUGUUUCUCAACUUCUGUUUUGAAUACUUUAAAUUUCUCUAAAGAUUCAUAUUUUUCUUUGAUAAGAAACAAAUGGCCAUAUUUAGAAAAAUCAUCUAUAAAUGUUAUAAAAUAUAAGCAUCCACACAAAGUUUUAUGAUAUGGUCCACUAAUAUCCGUAUAAAUAAUCUCCAAAAGACUAGUGUUACGAGUAGCAGUCUUUUUCCCUUUCUUGGUCAUUUUCCUCUUAAGACAAUCAAUACAUUCUGCAUGGUCAUUAUCUAAAGAAGGAAGAAUGGUCGAUUUAACCAAUCUUUUAAUUCUAUCUUGUGAAAUAUGAUCUAACCUUUUAUGCCAUAAUAUAUAUGAUUUUUCUUUAUUUAAGGGUCUUUUGGAAACUGUAUUUUCCACAUUAUAAGCUAUAUAGAUCUUCAUAGAAUCAAGACAUAAUCUGUAUAGGUCAUAAGACAAAACACAAUUACCCAUAAUCUUUGAGUUAAGAAACAUUGAAACUGUAUUGUUCUUAAAUUCAAAAGAAAAACCAUGUUUGCUUAAUUUACUAACAGAAAUUAGAUUCCGUCUAAACGACGGAACAUACAAAGUGUCUUUCAAUGUUAAACCAAAUCCUAAAUCUAGAUUUAAAAUAACAUCGCCCACAAAUUCUACAUCAGUUUGUCCAUCAUUUCCUACGAACAAUCUUGAUUCAUCCUGAUUUGGCUUCCUUCUAUUUGUGAAUCCCUGUAUGGUGAAUGCAACAUGAUUAGUUGCUCCACUAUCCAACCACCAAGAACUAGAUGAAGAUUCUAUUAAAUUAGAUUCAUAAACUAAUGUCAAAGAAUCAAUACCUUUUUGUUCCUGUUUUAUGAGCCAAGAUUUAUACUUUAAGCAAUUCUUCUUUAUGUGUCCCGGUUUCUUACAGAAGAAACAUCCAUUAAUUGCUUUCUUGAGGGAGUUCUUGUUAGGACCAAAUUUGUCAGAUAAGUUGGUAUCCUUAGAAUCUUUAUUUUUCACAAACUUUUUGAACUUAAAUCCUUUCUUAUUUGAACUAUACAUUGUUAUCGAAAAUUUUUCGCCUUUUAUUUUAUCCCCCAUUUCUCCAAAUAAUUAUUUCUUUUAAUUCGAGCCCAGGCUCGCCGGUUCGAGCCCGGGCCCGAGCCUGACAAUUCUUAAAAUGAGCCGAGCCUGAGCCUGGCUCUAUAAGCAAAAGCUCGACUUGUUUGACACCUUAAUCUCAGAUAAAUAUUCCGAGAAUAUUUUGCCACUUAUCUUCAAAUUCUGAAGUUUUUUGGCGUAGACUCAUCACAUGCGAUCGAGAAUUAGAUGCAAAUUGCAUUUGAAAUGUUUCUCAUACCUCAUGUGUCGUAGCACAAUCAGAGACUUCCGACAGUACCGAGAGUGAAAUUGAUGAAAAUAGCCAUCCUAAAAUCAAUUGAUCUUGCUUGAUGGCAAGAGAGUUGUCCAAUUUUUCCCUACCGGCCAGAUAGUCCAUCAGCUCAUGACCUCGGAUAUUAGCCCCAAAUUGGGCUCUCCACGCGAAGUAGUUGCUGCGGUCUAGGGCUACAGUCUUGAAGUUCUUGGCGGUCACCUUUCCUGGUGCAUCGUUGCCAUAGAGCUUCUUUGCAGCCAGCGAAAUCCCUUUGUCAGCUUCGUCAAUCGACAUUGCGUAUCGGAAAAAAAUUGUGAUCGUCAACGAUUUUGGAGCGAUUCCGAUGAUCAGAGAUGUGCGGCUUCCCAAGAUCAGCUAAGCGAAAGAUACCAUAACAGUGAAUUGAAAUAUAUGAAUGGGGAAAGCCAAACUCGAUCCUUUUCAUAUUCAAUAGUAAGAUCUAUUUAUACAAUUUGUUACUCUAAUAUCCUAUUUGUUUGUUCUUUUGUAUUAUCGAUAUUUAUUGUCUAUUUUUUAUAAUGUUCUUGUCUAUUUUUAUAUUUACAGUCUAUGGUUUUUAGUCCUUGAUACUUGAUAGAUAUUUGAUAUCUAUUAUAUAUUUUAUCUAUUUUUGUGGUUUCUUUGUCGUUUUCUUUAUUGAUUUUUAUUCAUUCUUGUUCUAUUAAUAGGUUACCAAAUUCUUGUUCUAUUUGAAGAAGAGAGUUUCCCAUCUCUUGCUCGGGUACCUUCUCCAAGUUAUAAGGAACCAGAUGGAGGCCAUUGAAUUGUUAGUCUACCUUCCUCCAUUGGAGUCUGAGGCAUAGAUGGACCGAAAGUGGAAUCAUCUAGCUUUAGAUGGGGGAGGAGAGCACGACUUGUGCUAGAACUUCUUCAAGAAAUUUGACAAAUUUACGCUUCUCAACCUUACUCAUGGCUCUCGCGUCUUGAUGUUACAAGAGUUGCUCGUGGAGGGUACGUAAGGCUAUCCCCAACUGAAUCUUUGACUGGGGGAAAGAUGAUUCCGUCAGGGAAUUUGAUGUAAAAAUUCGAAAAACAAACAUAUAACAUUAUUAUUAGAGGAAACGUUUCAAAUAAAAUAUUUAAAAUAAUAUAUAUUUUGUGAAAUAUUAAUUUAGAACGUUCAUUUAUUUUAAAUUAAAUUAAACACAUCUUAAGGUAGAUCAUAUCAUUUAAUUAGUGGAAUGUUUUAGAGA
rnacentral:lncRNA from 1 species